GAGGGUGGCGACACCUGGUGGCUGGUCGCGGUGGCCGAAGGAGAAGAGGGGAGGGGUGAAUUUUCGAUCUGGACUUUGGGGGCUGAGAGAGAGCGGUCGUGGUUUGGGGUCUGGGUUCUGAAACGGCACGGCGGCUUACCGCUGUCAGUUCGCCGGAGGGAGAUGGCGGCCGGGGCCUGUGUGCACCGCCGUCUGUGCUUGUGUGUGUUGCGUGUCUGACCACGCGAGAAAAAGGGGGAAGGGGGGGG
rnacentral:lncRNA from 1 species